rnacentral:rRNA from 1 species
GACAGAGGUGCCAAGCGUUAGGCGGAAUCACUGGGCUUAAAGCGUGUGUAGGUGGAAGGGUAAGUCCCUUGUGAAAUCCCACGGCUUAACCGUGGAACUGCUUGGUAUACUGCUUUUCUUGAGCCAACUAGGGGUUACCGGAACAAAUGGUGGAGCGGUGAAAUGCGUAGAUAUCAUGUGGAACGCCAAUGGUGAAAACAACUCGCUGGGGAAGUGCUGACGCUGAGACACGAAAGCCAGGGGAGCGAACGGG